AGAGAGAGAGAGAGAGAGAGAGAGAGUGAGUCAGGAAAAGCAGGUUUCACAACAACUGUUAAAUGUCAUGCUUUGGUUUUGGUGGAGACCAAAAUGCAGAGGCAAGGAUUGCAAGACUGUGGCGAAUGAAGAACUCAGAAGAUGGAACGGACUGUGUGCGUCCACCACAAGGGAUCGGACAACAGAGAAACCGAUCCACAGAGUUCUGCUGCCUCAUUCUUUCACACACCUGUGCAGUGGAUGAGUAAAUGAACAGACGAGGAACAACUGUGGAACAAAAUGAAACUAAGGCACAGAGGGGAAACAUUGAGUAAACCAGGAGACAGACAAAACCAAACACUAGGAUAACCUAAAAUUACAAGCAUAGGAAAAUUCACAAAAACAACCUGAAAUACAGCACAAGUACUUAACUGAACUCAAAGUCCACCAGACUGACAUUAAAUCAUCUGAUUAAAAAUACACAUCAUGCAUGUUUGCUCCUAUUUUAUUUAAUGAUGCUUUGAAAGUAAUAUAUCUUUUUGUUUGCUAGAAAUGGCAAAUAUUCCAUUUCUUUAAAUCAAAUGUGACUAUAAAAUCUCCUGUUGUCGUUGCUGGUGGUGUUGCGCUGCAACCCAGUGAUUUCAGUGAGUGUGUUGUGUCUGAAAACCGAGUGAAAGGGUAAAAAAGAAGUAAAAAAAAAAAUAAAAAAUACCAAAAUGAGUAAUAGUGAAGAUGCUGUUGUCGCAUUAAUUCCUCGUGUCUUUUCUCCUUCUUGGCCCAAGUUUAAAUCAACUGUCAUGCUAUAACUGAAGCGAAGAAAUGCAGUGGUCGUAUAUGUAUGUAUGAAUGAAUGAAUGAAUGAAUAAAUAUGAUUUGCCUGUCUUGGACCCUCUCAAGGACAAAAUCUUGUGCUCCCUUUGUGUCUCUUGUGAGCUGCACGCCUGCAUCUCAGUCUCCGUGUUUGCCAGUCGUAGACGUGUGAUUGUAGUUUUGACUAAGAAUUUUCUUGUGCGUCUGUGGGUGUCUUCAUCUGCAUUUACAAGGGCUUGUGUGUUGCUACCGGAUGUCCUGUAGGGCUCUCUCUCCUGCUUUUUUUUUUUUUUUUGUGGAAUAAUGACGAUCUACUUCCCCCAGCAGUGCAAACACAAACAAACACCCAUCUCUCCCCUGCUCCCCCGUCCUUGCCUCAUCUGUGGAAGUCACAUUCACAUACAGCCGUUUGCAGGUGAUGUACCCAGGAAACGCUGCCCUGUAAUUGUGUCACUCUGUCUUCCUGUGGUGAGGUAGCUGAUGGCUUGGUGCCUGCAGCCUGCGACUCACCAGAAUUACCAACUGAGCGGCGAGUGGGAGAGGAGGGGCUCCAUUAAAAUGCAAAAUCACCACUGCUGUGCACUGCGGCGCCUUGCACCCUCACUUUUUCUCCAAGGCAGCCAUCUUAUGAUGGAAUGAGUAUGUGCUUGAUGGUGUGUGAAUGUGUGUGUGUGUGUGUGUCUAUGUGCGUGUGAAAACGCGUGUGCAUGUGCAUCUCUAUGUCCCUGCUUUUGAUAGAGUGUAGAGUUGAGCCACGGCAUGGAAUGGUGAGAUGGUGUGGUAAGCAGGUUUGUGUGCGGGUGUGUGUAUGUGUGUGUGUGCGUGCGAGGCAGGGGUGAUAAAUCAGAGCUAGGUAAAGGCUUUUUAAUGCAGCGGACCCCUCUCCCAGCCUCCAUCCUCUGUCAGGGCUCAGUAAAAGAUGAGAGCCCCCUGGGGAAUGGCACUAGCCCGCAGAAUAGCACGGCUACGCCGCAGGUCACACACACAUGCAUGCAAACACACACAGGGAUAGACGCAUAGCCACUGACUGGGCCUUGUGAAUGAGUGAAUACAUGAAUAACUGAAUCAACUGAAUGUAUGAAUAUAUAAAUAAAACUUUGCACAGGAGCUACAUUUAUUGAUGAACACCCCAGCAAAUAAAUGUGUUUUUCAAAUGAUUUCCAAAUGAAUCCCUAAAUGAUUUAUGGCCGGUGAUAUUGCAUUUAGAUCAGAGAAAAUAUUUUUGCACAAAACAGAAUGAAUAUUUGGUUCAUUUCUGCCUGUGCUCCGAAGGUCAAACAGAGUCCCUCUCGAUGAUGUGCCUUGAGUCUUGAAGCGGCCCCAGGUUUCAGGGGGCCGGAUAUGAAAAAUAUGUGGAAUUUGCCAACAUCUGACAAUACUUAGUCGGCAAUAUAUCUCCUGUCUGAUAGAAAAAUGUGUUCUGAAUUGCAGAUACGCUCUCCUUUCUGGCAUACCUUUUUAAUUUGACUUUAAGGGAAAACAUGCCAAGCUCCGAGAUAGACAAGGAGAGAUAUGACCGCUGAAUUUUGGGCAGACCUUUGCGGAUGGGGCAAAAAAGGACUCCAGCAGCUUGGCUCAGAAGCUGAGCACAAACACUUGAGAACAUAAUACUUGACAACGAGCCCAGAGUGUCAGUGAGGGGCCCUACAGAGAAAACUCUGGCAGAGGAAAAAGAAGAAAAAAAAAGAGGCAAAAAAUGCAAAAGAUUUGAUUUUUACUCAGGAUAUCAGAUAAUCUGGGAUAACAAUUUAUGCCCCUCUUUUUUUAAUAUUAUAAAUUAGUUGGAUUGUUAAACAGUCUAGCAUUACUGUCCAGAGAAGAGAAGUGCACAUAAUUCAAGGCCACAAAAAUCCUUUUGUUGGAAAACAUUGUUUUUUUUUUUUUUUGGUUUGUUUUUUUUAAAUGAAAUGAAAUUAGAUACCAUCUGACAAUGUAGGAAAUAUCUACAUACACACACGAGUAGAUUGUGGUGUAAUUCAGGGAUCCGUUUUGGAUCCCUGAAAUAAAUAAAUGCUUCUCAACGGAAAGAUUUGCUUUUUCAUAGAGAUGGAUGGACCAGACCAGUAAAAAUCUUAGGGUGGCACAAAAAAAAAAAAAAAAAAGAAAAAGAAAGAAAAGGUGGCCACAUUUUUCCAGGAGUGGCCAUGGCCCUUGAUCUAGAAGAGGUGCAGUGCUGGAUGGCUAAUAGCAUUUCACAUUUUAAUGACAGAAAGUCGCCGUAGGUCCUAUCCAUCUUAUCUUGGAUCCCACUUUAUGCCCUUGACAUUUUAUCUUCUUCCCAGGUCAAGAUUUUAGUUGUUAUAUUUAACGGCCAUUUGAACUUUUAUAAAGAGAUUGGCGCUGUGAUAAAGAAUCAUGUCUUAAAUCUCAAAACUCAAAUACAUUCUCAAUAACCACGCCAUGAAGACAGCGAUCACUGCUUUAAUUGAACCCAGGUCGGACUACUGGAUUCCUCUCUGUUUUGGCCUGAGUCAGUCUCUGUUAUCUUCUGCUGCUUUACUUCUGACUGAAACCAGAAUAAGAGACAAAAUCGGCACUGUGUUUUUAUCACUUAUAUUAAGUAUAGACUUGAUAAAAAAUUUUUUUAAGUUUUAUGAGGUUUGGAAACCCAAAAAUAUUUCCUAACUAUCCUUUCUUUAGAUCAUAGAACUUGGACAUUCUAACAUUCUAGAUUAGUCGGUUCCAGAUAUUAUUCUUUGACUGAAUAAGUCCCAAAGUUCUGCGACAGCCUCCUCCUCUCUGUUAAAUGUGGGUCUUCCAUUCAUCCCUUUACAAACAGCUUAAGCACAUAUGAAUCCACCUAACGCUUUGGAAAAUUUUAAUGUAAAACUUGUAGCAUGAUUUGUAACUUUAUUUACUAUUUCUAAACCUGGUUUUACUCAUUUUAUCUCAUUCAUCUUUACAGUGUUUUUAAAGAUUCUUUUCACUCUACUUUGAUUUUAGAUGUGCUUCAGAAAUAAAAUGUAUUUAACAUAGAGAGGCAAAAGCUGUGUACUAUACACUGUUUACAAUUUGACAGUGCUAUCAGAGGUCAUGCACAGGUUCUGUUUCGGAGGUUUAAAAAAAAAAAAUACACAAGUACUAAAUUUAGCUGACAUGUACCCUGUCUUGCAUCUUAGACAUUAUUCCUCUCUGCUUUUAUUUCCACGUUUAGGAAGAUGCGCUUCAGUUUGAACUCCACUUAGAGACCUCGCUACAUUACUCACAGAGCCAAUGUGCAUAUUGCCGUGUUUAUUAUUUCUCGUGUGUUUUUGUAUUUGUGUCUCUGCGCAUCGUUUGGACGGAGCAGGUUAAUGCUGGUUGACACGUGCGGCUCACUCAUCUCCAGGAGGAAUCAAGACUCCCGGCUAAACCGUUGCACACAGGUAUCCAUGGCAACUACUAAAAUAUAUUUCUUUCUGAACCACGGCAAGUUGGAAAUUCCAACACUAAAAAGCAUUGUCAUUACCUGGCGGCUUCAGACUUAACAGGGUUAUGCUUUCUGUGCCUGCUGUUGAUGUUCUUUAUUGUUGCCUACAGUUGUAAUUUAAAAUUUGGUCAUUUCUUGCUGCACACACUGUCUUUCAAAAGUAUACGUACCACUUAAACAUUUGAACAAUUUCUCCCAAUGCAACCUCACACUUUGAUGUACUCUGUUGUGAUGUAGGUAAUAAAACAACAAGAAAGAAGCAUGCAUUUCUUCAACGGAAGGAAGAUGCAACAGUUUUAAAAUCUUUUAGCGUAUAAAUCUCAAAAGGGUGGCAUGCAUUUACAGUUACUCCUAUUAUCCCUAAAAAAAAAAAAAAAGCUCAUUUGUAAGCAAGCAUAAACAAAGCAAUAUUUAUGGAAAGCAAAGCAUGUAUUGUUUUCCGUAGCUUUUUGUUGGUCUACAAAAAAUUCAAUUAAAACACGUUAAGCUCAUUUCUGUUGUGACGCAGAGAAGUUCCCAAAGUAUGAACACUUUUGCGAGGCACCUACAAAAGAAAACGUUGCAAUUUUCACUUGGAUUCCCUGGGAUUUAACAAUACCGCAGUUCGUCAAUAAACCGAAGUCAGAUCGGCAGGACAUUAUCAAAUAUUCAUGGCAAUUUACACAUGUUCCUGCUUGUAUUUGGUUUCUCCUGUGUAUUAAGUCUGGUUGGAGCAUUGAUUGAUGGAGGACAGAAAACACAAGUCUGCGCUCUUCUAGUUUCUUCCUUUGUAGUUGCUGAUGACUGUUGGUUGAUUGCACAAUGAUUCUGAUGCUUAUGUUAACUAUAUGUAACGGGUAUUAGAUAUACAGAUGAAAUUCCUGCUAAAAUAUGUUUCACAGUUAUCCUGUAAUUGGUGGUUUUUGGCGCCCCCUACUGGUUACCUAUAAAUUGGAUGAGAAACCAAAAAUUCCACACAGUUGGUUCAGCGCUCUGUUGUGGUAAGUCAGCAAAUCCGGUUCUCUUCCAAAUGGUGUUGGAGGUUUGUUCAGGAGGGUGACUGGAAUCUUUGUUGCAUUGCACAGAGCCAUAGGUUGACCAGUAGAGAGGCUCACUGCGCCAUAUGUGUUUUGUCAACCACUGAUUACAGAUUGUAAUAAAUCAUCUAAAAACCAACCAACCGGUAUCCGAGUGUGCAUAACAGGACGGAGGGGUAAAGACAGAGCUGUUACAUAUAAAUAGCCUUGGAAAUGACUGUGUAGUAUAUGAGUUUAAAUGUAAUCCUAUAUGCAGUACUUUAACUGAACAACACAGUUUACAAAAAAAACACACAAAAAAACAUCCUAACCUAGAAAGUGAUUCAGGUGUCUCUAUACAGCUGCAGGACAUGCAACUCAAGACAAAUGAACCUAUAUGUAAAGUCAAAGUGAUGAAGCCCUUAGGGUCAAUAUCUAUUUUUUUCAAAAGAGAAGUAAAAUCAAACAAACAAAAAAACUCAAUUGCAUACCUCCUACUGCAUUUCUUUUAGGGGAAGAACAGAAAAAAAAGCACAUUCUGUCCUCCACCGCAUUCCUGGACAAGCAGAGGUUCAAUCACAUUUGCAGAAGUUAUCAAAACUUUCAAAGGGCUCAGCUGGCGCCUUAAGCCACAGGAAAUUCACUGGGCCAUCUGGAGGGAUGUGUGCAGAUUAUUGCUCAUUUAGUCUGCUCUAGACAUCAGUAGGAAGAAGACUGAGAUGACUAAAGUCGUGCACGGGCAGGACAGUACGUAUGCGCACACGCACACAGACGCUCGUGCUGGUGCGCACAGCACACCGGUGCGUAAUCCCCCCAUAAUGCCCUUUGGUAUCUUGUUUGUCCCGUCCCUUUGCCACUCCUACCCAUCCAGUCAGAUGGGUCGGAGGAGUUCAGUAACAGACAAACAUCUUGCAACUCUUUCCAAGUAAGGUAUGAAACAUAAAAUUGUAAUAUAUAUAAUCUUGCUUGAUAAUUGGAAAAAAAAGUAUCAUCUUGAUUAAAUAUGUCAUUGAAAUCAUAAUUAUUUUAAUCAAUUUCCUAUUGACUUUCUUGCUCAGAAACACGCUUUCUAUUCCAACAAUAAGACUCUUAAGACGCUAUGAAAUACAUUCCAUCUGUCAUUAUUAGUAUUACCUUAUAUUAUUAAUUAUCUGUGGUUGAGUCGGAGUGGAAAAUGACGGAUGGAUGAUUUAUUAUUGUAGCAAAUUAACAAUGCAAACAUUCCAUAUUUAACACAUUCACAAAUUCGGCUUAAAUUUGGUUUUGCAGAAGGUGUGUAUAAAUUAAAAUUUUUGAUUUUUUUUUUUUUAAUUUAACUAAAAAUAAAAGUGACAACAGUGAUGUUUAGAUCUUUCCCAGGUGUUGGUUUGAAAUUUGAAAGGAAAUCUGAGUAACUUCACAGCUUUGUAUUUUUGAUGAAAUAUUAGUUUCAUAGGAACAAAUAUUGUUCAGCAAUACUUUUGUUUAAAUCAUGAAAUGAAGUAAAAAAAAAACUAACUAAAAUGCAUCAAAUAGAUUUUACACGGAAGAAAUAAAUGGAUAUCCACCCUAUGCCCUUUGUUUUGUUGAAUGCACACACACACACACACACACACACACACACACACACACACACACACACACCGCCCAGAUUUGCCGUCAGUGUCUCAGGCGCGGAUCUGGCUUUUAAAAGUUCUAAAGAAUAACAACCUUUGUCGACCUACAUCAUGAAACACAGCACUCUACAGAGCGUCUACGCGGUUUUUUUUUUAUUUGCCCAUUCAGCUUACACAUAUUGGGUUGGACGUAUGAUAAUGUAAAAAUUCCAAAUUACCCUGGGACCUGAGAUCAAAAAGGAAAAGGCCAAAUUCCCUGAAUUCCCAAACCAUAGAUGCUCCAGCUUUGUGUGAAAUGCAACCAGACAAAACCUAAACACCAUGAUAAAGGCAAAGGAAAUUACUUUCCUUAUUUUAGGUGUGAUUGAUUGUCCCCCUGACCUGCUAGACUGAAGAGGUGGUUAAAAAGAAGAGGCAGACUUAGAUAAUUGGGCCCGAUGGUAUCCAAAGCCCGGCAGGUGUUGAAAGAAGUCUCAUAAUGCAGGUACCAGCAGCGGCUGCAACCCUGAACUUCUGCACACCUAGGAUUUGUCUACCUUGAAGGAAUUUUGGUGUUUUAUGUUUGGCAUGUCUUUUAUUGAAUAGAUGAAAUAUGAGCUACUUGUAACUCCUAUUGACGUAUUGGACAUGCCACAAGAAAACAAAACCAAAAAAAAAAAAAAAAAAAAGGUAUAGAGGUGUCAAAAAUCCUCAGAGAUGUCGACAAAUAAAUAGAGCAUUUUUGUUUUAUCUUUUCUUGGCACGAGAAAUAAUGUCAUUCAGUCUUUGAAAGUGGUGUCAGUUGUUAGAAAUAUCUUGCCGAUACAUGAGGGAUGUAACUCCCUUACCUGUUGAAAAGUGAGUAAGGAGAAGGAUCAGAGAUGGAAUUUAGUUGAACAGAAAAAGGCACAGAUGUUUUCACUCUUUAAUUUCAUUAGUGAAUCACAGGGCUAUCCGAGUCCUUCUAGCCAUUUCAAAUGAAGAGGUAAAAGCCAGGCAUGAGCAUUAAUGAGUUUUUUUUUUUUCUUAGAGGAAAAAUAUGCAUGUUCUAUCCUUACCAUUAUCUGCAAGCCAGGGGCUCUGUUCCAAUUAGAGAAUACCACAGACGUACCAUCCAACAAGCAUGCACACAAACGAACCUACAAUAGGUACAGUAAAGUACCCGGCAUUAGAGAGCCAAGAGAAGAGCUUUUUACUUAAAAAAACUAUUUAAUCAGGAAAAUCAACGCUUCACAUCAAAGAAAUGGAGAUGAGGGACAGGCGGAUAAAGAGGCUCAUCAAAGAAGGAGAUCUAGUUAGGGAUUCAACGCCCUAAUUCCCUUUCUCUUAAAACCGUCGUCAGAGGGGGCACAGGGCCAAUUUGCUCCCUAAAUGGCUGCGUGUGAAUGUGCAGAUUGCUUUGCAUAGCCGCUGGGAAUGUGGGUUUCCUCCUCUUUUUCUUCUCCACACGGAGCCUGAGAAUUAGAAAAGAUCCAAAGACAGAUAGGCUUAACUGAGCCCCAGCUACCUUCCUUAAGUCCAGAGCCCUGCUCCAACUUCCAACUAAUUUAAUACAUGUCCUAACUCAAUUAAUAGACUCUAAUGCAAUGUUUCUUCUUUAUCUCUUUUUCUUUCCUGAGGAUUGGAGGCUUCAAUUAGAGUUACAGAGUAAUAUCAGCAAAAAAGGUUUGGAUUGUAAGUCUCUUUGAAUGUUAAGACAAUGACAUGUCCCAGUGGCAUUAGGGUUGAUCAUAUAUGCAUCCUUAAUCUCAAACAUCGACCUAAUCUCACUUUCUGGGACUUACUUCACAUUAAUGUAAUGUAGUGCAUAAAAUAUUGACCAUCGGUCUUUCCUAUCUGGGGCUUUAUAUGCGUUAGUGUUGCAUUCAUUAGUCAGAACGUCCUUGAUAUAAAAGAGGACCUCAAAGAAUCCUCAGGAUGUGUCCUCUGUUUUCCACAAGAUGUCAACCCAAUCAUCAUCUAGGAUUGUAACACCCACCUCAAGGUUUUAAGUUUUCUUUUAAUCCAUCGCAAGACUCCGUCAAUACUUCUAUAGGAGGUUUAAACCGUACAAUUGAUUCAUGUUGGAUUACCUUACAUUACCACAAAGGACAUCUGCCACAGAGACUUGGAGAAGUUCUAGGACAAAGAAAGAAGCCAUUGGUCAGUAUCACAUAAAUAAUUUAACACAAGAUCAAACCAAUGCAACAACCCGAUGUUCUUCAGGGCCCCCGCGAACCUCAUAAGUAGAGAUAUUGCAUGCGUUAUUCUCUUAAGCCCAGCCAAAGUCUCAUCUGAGCGCAGAUUCAUGCGUUUGUGCCGGUAGAACUGAGGCCGUUUCCCUCUGCAAUAGGCUCUCUGUUACGCCUGCAGUUACAAUUGAUUGUCUUGGCAAUCAGCAAUUAAGCACUGGUGAUCAGAGAAGGGAAAAAGAACGAGUGGGAAGAGGAGGUGGAUAGCAACCAUCACAACCCCCCCCUCCAUCCCACUCCUCUUUUGUCAGCCCAGGAAAGGCUUCACUCAGCUGGGGUGAGUUUGGCCUGGGGCUGGGCUCACUGGUGGAGGUUAACUCCAGCAUAAAUAAGCAUCUUUGGACUCAUUACAGGGAUUAGAGAGUAAUUCGCCUGCGAGGAAGGAGACGACUGCCAGGGUUUUGGUACAGUUUACUACAGUCUUAUAGGGGCGAGGGCCCUUGAGAUUACAGAGGGAGAGAGACGGAAAGGCAGCAAAAGAGAGAAAGGCCAAGGGAAAAGAGAGGAUGGCUGUCAAGUGUGUGUGAGUCAAUCCAAGCCCCUGGCUGCCCCCUUGAUCUUGAGCAUGUUGGGGUGCUGUGAAAACGGAUAAUGGGAGUUAGAACGACCAGGCCUGUCUAGAGAGAAGUGUACUGAUUGUUAUAACUUUCCCUCGUCUCUCGCUCUCUCUCACUCCUCCACUUAACUAAAUAAACACCCAAGAGGUAGCACUCUAUCAAUUUUAAUGAUGUUGAAAUACAAUUUAGGCACAAAAUACACAACAAAUGCUAAUUUGGCCAUGAUGAGAGGCAUCAGAAAUUCCUCCCAUUAUUUAUUCAGCUGACUUUCUGCAUUUUUCAUCAGAACAAAUAUUCCCAUUUCAACAAACACACACACACACACACACACACACACAUCCACGCGCCCCAUCACAGAGCCAAUUUGGAGCAUAAAUCAACACAUUCACUCAUCAAAUAUAUGCCCCGUGUGGUGCUCUGUAGUCUGUCCAGUGCACCAAAGACAAAUAAUUCCAUCCAAAGUCCAGCCAGAGAAACAGAGGGCACAGAAGACUGUCAAUAUAUGCACACAUACAUUAAACAUAGCAGACAACUGUGUGCUUAGAAAAGACACAGUAAGGAAAAGUCCUCCCGUCAUAAAGUCAUACAUGACUAAAUAUUUUGGAAAAAAAAAAAGAAAAAAAAAAGCAAAUACUGGGAACAGACAAACACAAUUUCUUCAGAAAUUAACAUCUCCAUCAAGGAGAUAGGAAAUAGAGGUAGGAGAUGAACUACCAAAACUCGUACUAAGAACCAAACGGAAAGUUUUUCCAGUCAGAGUAACGGAUAUAAAAGAAACAACCUGGGAAAAA